GACAGAGGGUGCAAACGUUGUUCGGAAUUACUGGGCGUAAAGCGCGUGUAGGCGGCUCGGCAAGUCGGGUGUGAAAGCCCUGGGCUUAACCUAGGAAGUGCACUCGAAACUGCCAAGCUUGAGUUCUGGAGAGGAAGGCGGAAUUCUCGGUGUAGAGGUGAAAUUCGUAGAUAUCAGGAGGAACACCUGUGGUGUAGACGGCUCUCUGGACCGCAACUGACGCUGAGACACGAAAGCGUGGGUAGCAAACAGG
rnacentral:rRNA from 1 species